rnacentral:rRNA from 1 species
UACGUAGGGUGCAAGCGUUGUCCGGAAUUAUUGGGCGUAAAGGGCUCGUAGGCGGUUUGUCGCGUCGGGAGUGAAAACACUGGGCUUAACCGAGUGCUUGCUUUCGAUACGGGCAGACUUGAGGCAUUGAGGGGGAGAACGGAAUUCCUGGUGUAGCGGUGAAAUGCGCAGAUAUCAGGAGGAACACCGGUGGCGAAGGCGGUUCUCUGGCAAUGUUCUGACGCUGAGGAGCGAAAGUGUGGGGGAGCGAACAGG